UGCCAUAUGCUUCUCAUAACGCACACACAAAAGAAUUACAAAAAGGACUACGCACUCCUCAUACUCCUCAUCUUGAUCUUGUGUUCAGCUUGUAAAGUUCACUUCAAUCUGUUUGAGCAUAGGACAAACCAAAAGCCAUGUGUCCCAUCUCCACUGAAUUGAUGUGUAAGAGGUCAGAAAGAGCAACAGCUUUUUGAAGAUUGAUUAAUAAAGAACAUGAUGAUGAGCCUAAGUUCAUAUUCUCCCAAAGAAGUUGGCAGCCUGUGUCCUGGACAAGUACACUCUUUGCUGGGUCAAGAACUGGCUGGAUGGCUGGUGAGUGGAAGCACUGAAAAGGAAGAGAGAUGAAUGCUGACUGGAUUUCAGGAUUGGCUGCAAAAGCUGUACUGUAGAAGACCUCACUCACUUUUAAGAUUUUCCAGCACCAGAUCUUCCUUGGCUAUUUGGACUUAUUUUGCAGUCAUGUUAGCCAUCAUCCAUGUUGUUUGUUUCUUUCUGUUUAGCAUGAUUUCACUAAUAGUCAAAAUUUGCUAGCCCAGAUAGUGUCCCUGAUGCUUUUGCCUGAAACAUCUCUGUGGAAUGUCACUGAAAAAAAGGAAAUAGAAGAAAAAAAAAAAAAAAGUGAUUCAGAACAUAAUUUGUCUGACAAAAGCAAUGAAGCAAUAACCAUUCAACUCCAUGCAUGGAAAGGUUUUUGCUGUGGGACAUGGAGUCUACUGGGCUGUUCUUUGUGAGAAGAGUCUAGAAGCUGCCCAUUAUAGAUACAAGCCAGUUCCAUCUGCUGCUGUCCAAAGCAGAGCCAGUGAGAGAUGCUGAUUUUGCCUCUGUAAGAGCAUAUCUAAGAAAGGAGAAAAAAUCUGCUGUGCAGCAGCAGCUGGGAGAAAUGAGUGAGAAAAUGUAGAGUGAAACAAUUCUGCAGAUGCAAAGAUCAGUGCAGAAGGAGGGGGAGGAGGUGCUCCAGAUACAGAAGCAGAAGUACCCUGCAGCCUGUGUGACACCUAUAGCAGGCUGUCUCCCUGCAGCCCGUGGGCACCACAUGAAACAGAUCUCCACACUGAGUCCCAUGGAGGAGCCCACAGGGGUGCAGGUGAAUGCAACCCACUGAAGGCCCAUAGAGGAGAAGAUUCUGUGACAAACCUGCAGCUUUUGGAGAGGAGUCCAUGGUGGAGCAAGAGGUCUGAGAGAGCUAUCACCCAUGGGGGACCCAUGCUGGAACUCACUGUUCUUGAAGGAUGGCCUCCAUGCUACAGUCCCAUCAAGGAGCAGUUACUGAAGAAAUACAGCCUGUGGUAAGCUGAUGUUGGAUUAGUUUAGGAGAGAUGGCAUCCCAUGGGAGAUAAUGUAUGCUGGAGCAGAGGAAGAGAGUGAAGAUGAAGGAGCAGCAAAAAUGAAGCAUUACAGACUGACCAUAGCCCAUUCUCCCUGCUUCCUUGUUCUGCAGUGGGAGAGGAGUAAGAAGAAGGUGUUUUUAUUUUGCUUUAAUUUCUCACUGUUCUAGUUUCCUAUUAAUAGCAAAUAAAUUAUAUUAAUCUCCUUACACUGAGUCAUUUUGCUCACGACAAUAAUUGUUAAGUAAGUGGUCUUCCUAUCCUUAUCUAACCCUUGAGCUCUUGUCCGUUGUAUUUUCUUCCCUUCUUCCUUUGGAAUAAAUAAAUAACUAAAUAAAUGAAAAGAUAGCUUUG
ensembl:lncRNA